rnacentral:tRNA from 1 species
UCCCAGUUGGAUCAGUGGUAAAGAACCUGCUUGCCAAUGCCAGAGAUGCAGGAGACCCAGGUUCGAUCCCUGGCUUGGGAA